rnacentral:misc_RNA from 1 species
CAAAGUUCAAACAGAAAAAGGUGGUUUUAUACAAGUUCAAAUCAGUAGUGAACCUAGUGAUGCAUACAUAGGGAGGUAUACAAUUGUAAAAUUAGAAGAAUCACUCUUUACAUGACAAAAUGAUCAAGAACAUGAAUAAGGAUUAAGAUAUCCACAUCAUCUUCCAGCAUUUCAUGUCAAAACUCUGCAAGCUGUUAAGAAAAGAAGAUGAGUAUCAUGUGCAUCAAGGGUUGGAAUGGUUAAAUACAAGUAGACUUGAAAAUUGUAGGAUCCCAACAGAAUAUCAACAUAAAUCAACCCACAUCACACAAUAGCGUCAGACUUCAUAUCCAAGAUUUACUUUUUGUUGAACAUCUCCAUAACUCUCUAGCUCUUCCAUGUCCUCUAAGCUUCCUAGAAAUAAGGGAAGUCUCUGAUGCAGCUUGACAGGUUGGAGUGAAAGUAUUCUAACUUUACCAUCAGAACCUCUGCCUCCAGCCUGCUCCACAAGAAAACUAAGAGGAUUUGCCUCGUAUACUAGACGAAGAUGGUCCCGUGGGUUCAUUGCCACUCCACCAUAUAUUAAUGUCUGAUGAAAAUCAGCUACAAGGGAACAUAUAUAACGGGCAGAGUACUUCUUAGGGUAUUUUCCUUUUCCUUGCCUAACAGUGUCAAUGUAUGUCCUCAAUCCUUCAGGCCAGUCAAAAUAUCGUGCAUCAUUUACAGAAUAGAUUUGCCCUCGGGGAGGAAUCUUAAUGCCUGGGUGAGUAAGAAUGAAGUCUCCUGUUGAAUGAUCCAGUGUAAAUGCAUGUGUUCCAGAACCAAAACUGGCACAGAGUAUUGUGGCUGAUGAAUAAAGCACAUAACCAGCAGCCACAAGCCUAGUUCCACUCUGAAGUGAAUUCAACGUAGCCUUCUCCUCCUGAGGUAGAUGAUCCAGUUCUACAAAGCGUUCAUAUACCCCAAAAAUUGUUCCCGUAGGAAUGGAUGCAUCAAUAUUUCGAGAACCAUCCAGGGGAUCUGUUACCACCACAAAAGGACCAUCAUCAUUUAUCCAAAUUGGAGCAUCAUCUUCUUCUGAAGCCAUGACAGCAACUUUUCCGGAAUUUUGAAGAGAAGCCAAGAUUAUUUCAUUCUGCACAACAAUAUGCAUUCACCAAACUUCUUUUUUUCAAUUGUUAUUGCUGGUUAAAAAUUCAUUUCAACACUAUUGAGAACCCUAUGCCACAAUCAACAAUAAUAUUAUAAGUUCAAUAUAUAAUAUAAACUUCCCCUAACAAUCUAAUUGUGACAAAACAAACAAAGAGCUGAAGAAAAUAUCUCCCACAAAAUUAUUUGAUAUGAGGUAUAGGAAAUCAACUGGAUAAAUGAGUGAUCAUGAUUAUAUUAUAUGUAGCUAAAAGAGGGUGAUAACAGCCAUAAACAACCCAUUGAUAAAUAAAGGAAAAUAGGGUAAGUAGUGUAUUCUAUUAUUUUUGUUUUCUUAGAUCUUGACAUGGAUCACUGAAUGUUUUGAUUUGUGUUUGGAGCAUGGAAUGAAAUAACAGUGGUUACGUAACGUAACGGGCCGUUAUUUACAGGAAAUUUUAACUACCGUUACCGAUAUGACUUAUAUUUAACAACGAAAAAAAAUUGGGGGUGUAACGGC